rnacentral:rRNA from 1 species
AGUGAACGCUGGCGGCGUGCCUAAUACAUGCAAGUCGAACGGAGUGGCGCACGGGCGAGUAAUGUAUAGCUAAUCUGCCCUACACUAGAGGACAACAGUUGGAAACAACUGCUAAUACUCUAUAGUGUAGGAUGGUGGUAUAUUGUAUCAGCUAGGUGGUGAGGUAAUGGCUCACUAAGGCUAUGACGCAUAACUGGUCUGAUAGGAUGAUCAGUCACACUGGAACGGAGACACGGUCCAGACACCUACGAGAGGCAGCAGUAGGGAAUAUUGCUCAAUGGGGGAAACCCUGAAGCAGCAACGCCGCGUGGAGGAUGACACUUGUCGGAGCGGAAACUCCUGUUGUUAGGGAAGCGUUACCUAACGAAUAAGCACCGGCUAACUCCGUGCCAGCAGCCGCGGUAAUUC